ACCGCUUGUACACAUUCCUCGUUGCUCCUCCUGCGCGUCGUAUUAAUUUUCGAAUCCAAGGUGUCCAACUCACUCUGUUGUCAUCGUCGCUGUAGGACGAUGGAUUCAUUCCGUGAGCUGUGAGUGACGAAAAAACAUUAACAAGAAGUUUCGAAAACUUCUGAUUGCCCCGCAUCAUAUCUAUUAUUAGAGCGAAGCGAGCUUUGAUAAUAUACAAAAUAAAUGUGUGAUUAUAAACACUUUUUAAAAAUACUUGUAUAUAAAAAUGUAAUGAUAAUUACAUAUAAACCACAAUUGGAAAUAGAAAACCUGCCAGUUCCGCUGCCUCCUAUUACCUCUCACCUGUUACUAAUAACUCAAUAACUUCCAAAAAGUCCAGACUAUGAUUGGCUGUAUUAAGGUUCAGGGUUAGGGAUAAUUAUAAAAAUAAAUGUAAUACAUUACUAGGCAUAAAUUUGAUUUCAAUUUAAGCAUUGACUUCAUCCUUGUCCGCCUCUUCUAGCUCGUAUUGACUUUAUUUCAGCGUACUGUCUAAAGUUGUCCGGAAAUUGACUUGAUUUUCUCCAUCUCUCCCUAUAAUUUCCUUUACAUUGUGUGCAGGCUAUAAUCUUAUUCUUGGCUCUGCAUCUGUGUUGGUGCCCAGCGCGCAUUUGACAGCCACAUAACUAAAAACAGAGAUACUUCUGAGAGAUUGGUUGCAACAACAGCAACUACAACAUCAGCUGAUCAGCGCUCGAUUUGCUCUCUCGUCCGCUGCUGCUGCUGGCUUGGAAUUUUUCAGAUACUCUUUAGUGGAAUUGGGGAAACAUUUUUUAGCAGUCCCAGAUUGACUGUGAAAGAAGUAAAUGGUUGACUAAGAUUGGGAUAGACAAAUUUGUACAAAGAAGCGAUUGCAAUCUGAUUGUCUGAUUUAGUGAUGAUAACUUUUAUACAAAUUGAAAGUAUAUUAUAUCAUUUGUAAAUAUCUUUGAGCUUUUGUACACCGAAGACGACGAUUAGAAGCUCAUAGAGUAUUCGGAAUCGCAUUUUGAUCCCAUAUAAUCGAACAGCAGACGCACUGCGUAUUUUUUACAUCAUAAUCUUCCAAAGGAAGGGAAUAAAAAUUCGGAAAGCCAGCCGGCUACCCACUAAUAUUUCAUCCUCUUGCACUUCCCCUCGCAGUCUGUGCGCACGACCCACACUUUGAGAUCGUUGUUAGAGAUGUGGUUAGAGAUGGGACCGACCAGCAGGAGAUAUUAACUUUACCGAGAUGGUGGCGUAAAUGGAUUGUCAAAUUCGUUUUCACAUAAAAAGAUAAAGAAUACUGAAACAAAUACAAUACUCGCAGUGUGAAACUUCGUGAGGCAUGCGCUCCCAGCCUAUUUACAUAUAUUCUUACACUUAUGCAUAUAUUUUUACAUUUACAUUAUAUUUUUACAAAACUGCUCCAAAUUAAGCUUUUGCAUUUCAUCAAACUAAGCUUUCCACAAUUUUUUGCUAAAAUUUCCUUGGUUUUAAUGUUUAGUCCUUUAGUUUUUAGGUGUGCUUUAAAAAUUCGUCUACUGCGCUAAUUUUUCAAUGCACUUUCUCGAAAUUCGCCGACGAAUGCUGGAAAAAAUUAAAUUGUGCAAUCAAGGAAGCAAAAGUUACCUCCUGAAACUUUAGUUUGGUUGAGGGGGUGCAAAAAAAUAUUUAGAAAAAAAUUUUACAAUUAAUUGGCACUGCAGGGAAGUCGAGCAGGCAUGGAAAUUAGGGUAAAGUUAUUCGAUAGCAACAUGUCUUGUCCGUGGAUCGAAGAAUUAAACAUUCAAAAUGAACGAUAGUUCCUAGUUCAUGACAUAGUUCAUCAUAUAAUUUUACAGAUCCAUAUGUACAUAUCUAACACUACCCAGCACGAUAUUUCCUCAAGGAACCAAAUCAACUUUUUGAGGCAAGCUAAUAAAGUGUGUUGGCAUGAGAAGUGUUAUAGAUGUAAAUGACAAAUGAAGAAAAAAUGUAAAAUUUGACAAAAAACCGCUAAGGUACAGAUGUAGUACUGAGUACCGGGUAUAAAAGUUUUGACGCGUAAGAAGCGACUAACACCUCCCUUUUCGUUUUUUUUUUAAAUUUAGUUUUAUUAAGUUCUUAACCGUACAUUCAAACUAGUACCUUAGAAAAACAAUUUAGACAUUACAAAAAGGACCAUACCUGAGGUGCCACUGCUAAUAUUUAUCACACACACUUUAAUUCUUUGUAUUCAAGUGUAUUUGUUUAAGUCAUACGGGUGGUAUGCGAGUAAAUUAUAUAAGAAGUAUGAAUUAAUAACAAAAUACACAUUAAACCAAAUAAAAUAUUGAUGGAACUAAAUAACCUAAAAUCAAAGCUUUUGGUGCGUCUAAUUUUAAAUUUUGUAUGGCGGAAAACGGUGAAGCAAAUGUGCAACACAUGCAAUUAAAUUUCAAGAGAACCAAAUGAUUAUCAUACGUAUGUAAACUACUUCAUAUGCAUUGAUUCGGAGGAGGGAUGUCUAUGCAUUUCAUUUUCUCUUGCAUUUACAUAUUUCAUGGGAACGGAGUUGUACUCAUGCACGGUGGCUGCUUUUCUUUUGCCUUGUUUUCUUUUCCGCGUUUUUACAUUCUCUGCCUACUAAAAUAUUAAGUAUGUUUUUAGUAACACUUUGGCUUUGUUUCUGCCAAGAAUAAUAUUUAGAGCGCUAACUGCAAUACGGCUUUGCAGGGCUUCUUCCUGUGGUACAUCCUGCGUAUUGUCUUGAUAUGGAUUUAUAUGCAAUUUGCUGUUGUCCUUUCCUGAUUAACAUUGAUUGGUCAGCAGACAUUUGUGGUCAAAUAAUUUCCUCAUUCCCCAGUAGAGUUUCUCUCGGAUAUGAAUAGUACUAAAUUUAAUUGGCGCUGGGGAUCCAGCCUUUGCAAGAAUACCUGUAGACCCUUUUGACUUGAGAGCUGGCAGUCCAGGAUGGGACUUUUCCGUAAUUGAAGUACUUAAAUCAAUAUUAAUAUACAAUUCCACUUUAAACAUUAGGGACCUGUUACCCUAAUCCCUUGGGUUGACUGCUAUUUAUCCGCUUUUCGUUUUAGUGUCCAUAUUACGUGCGGACAUUCAAUUUAUUUUCGGUUGCACAAAACCUUGGGCUUCUUCCCCCUUUUACAUCCCGUGCCAAAGUUACAAAGUUACAACGCAAUUUAAUUUCUUCAUUCUGGCUAUAGUAAUGAUCCAAUCUAAUCCAAAUUCGGUGAUUUGAUAGAUAUGGUCAUUCCCGACCGAAUUUUUUAGUUUUCUUGAAUCUUCAAAAUUGUGGCUGUGGGAGAUUUUCGGCUUUUGGUGGGCGGAAGGGGGCGCGGAUAAUUUUUGAAACACACUUCUGUCAGUGUAAGAAUACAGCUAUCUGUACGCAAAAUUUGGUGGCUCUAUCUUUUAUAGUCUCUGAGAUCCAGUCGCUCCACCUAUACAAUAUACCCUAUUUACUCUUCGAGUACCGGGUAUAAAAAUUGCAUAAUCCACAAAAUAAAUUGGGAAAAUGCAGAACCAACCAAACAGUGAGGUCGGUCGGUCGUUUCCGUUAUUGUGGCGGAUUCUGCCCACAGAAUCUGCUAUAAAUAGCUCAACUUUUGUUAAUUGCAUAUUAGGUGUUCAUUAGGGCCUCCAAUCAUCAAUAGGCUUUCUGGCUUCCAAGAGGUGCUAUUUUCGGGUGCAUAUUUUAUGUGACUUUAGAAAACUUUACUUGAAAAGCGGAUUUUGAUCCACAAUGAUCUAGUUAUAAAAGCGUAAAUAGGAGCUGCCGCUCUUUUUUUGUUUUUUUUUGUAUGACAGAUCCAAUAUAGCAGAACUUGAUGGAGUACAUUUCAAGAUGGAAACGUCAGCUCAAAAUUAUUUGAAUACCCUACGCAACUCUGCUAUCCUUAAAAAUUUAAAAAUCCUUUUACUAAGUAGCCAAUGUAAGAUGUUGCUUGUGGCGCUGGCGGUUGCUGUGCGCUUGUCAGAUUAUUCAACAAAAGAUUUCUCUUUUUGUGGCAGUGGGGGAAACAGAUUUCAUGUAAAACCAUUCUUCUGAUGAGAGGCAGUGGCUGACGUUGCAGCUGUUACCUGAGUAGAGAGUCACCACAGCAGGAUGAUUGCCGACACCCGAGUCCCUUGUCUCAGAAACGAGUCGUAUGAAUUAUAAUUAUAAUCGAUUCCUCGGAGGAGAAGGCUCUGCAUGUUUAUUGCUGAAAUUUGGCUCAAAAUAUGCCAGAUAAAUUCAACUCCUAUAUGGUGACGCAAAGCAGCAUCUAAAAAAUCAAUGGCAGAAUGUAUAAUAGGCUGUAACGAUUCUACAGAUAAUAUGGUAUAAGAAACAAAGCAACGCCACACUGGUCCUUAGACAGGUUCCACACUGGUCCUCACACAGGUCACACAGAGAUUGAGACUGAUUGAAUGUAUCUUUUAUUAGAAGUAGGCACGUCAUGAGUACUUACUGUAGUAUGUAAUAUAUGCGUUAUUUUUAUUUAAAGUCCAAAUGUUUUUAAAAGUAUCUUUCUGACAUAGAAUUAAUUAUCUUUGAAAGAUGUUUUUAGGCCUUUAAUCUAAUCGAAAAACUCGGUUUGAUUCGAAGCGUAAAUAAAAAGUUAAAUUGUGUUGAACCAUAGAUAAAUUAUAGAUAAAAAAGCGAUGAAAGCUAAACUAAUAUAUUGGAAUCUGAACAACAUAUCUUUUUUUAAUAAAUAUAAUUAGCAUAUUAGCAUAUAGAUAGGCAGAAAUUGUGAUUAAUUUUCAUAAUUCGAUUGAUUCCACCAGCAGGACAUCAUUAAUGGCAGGCUUGUUGUUUAUUUAUCCACUGGGAAAAUCAAGUUUGGAAGCCGAAUAAAAGCCGAGAACGCAAUUGAAUUUAUUUAUAUUUUAAAUUGGUCUUUAAAAUGCCAAAUUAGUCGCUAAACAUUUAUUUAUGAACAAAUAUUUCUGAAUGCAUAUUAGUUCAAAAGCGAACUAAUAGCGAAAUACGCAAUAGCGAAACGUUAAUUAAUUGCUUGCAUUAAAAAUCUGCAUAAAAUACAAGUAUAUAAUAGGUCUCUGUGGGCUCUGUGUUUCUUCCGUGUUUCGUUUCGGAAAUUGUGCUGGCCAAAGGAUAUGGUACGCGUUUGUUUACUUUGUAUACUUUGCAUUCGAUUCAUUAUAUAAAAUUAUACCAGGGGGAUACCCAGGUCUAAACGCAACGAAUAUUGUAAUUUAGAAACAAAAAUAAAAAAAUAAAAUAAAAAAUAUUUAAAUAUCUAAACGAUUUUUAAUAGCUGUUGAUUGUUUAAUAAAAUGACGAGAGGGUUCGAUGCAAUAAAAUGUACAAUGUACAGAUGUACCAGUACUAUGCACAAAUAAUUGGCCAGCGAAAUUAUUCGUAUAUAUGGGUUUAAUUAGGAGUAGAGAUUGUAUAAGAAGACCUCGGGCUAUGGAUAUUAGUUCCAGACUGCAGCCAGGCCGACGGGCCGAAUUGCCCGAAUUGUCGAGAGGGGGAGAGCGUUAUAGAACGCUCGAUGCGGCUUCUGAGCCGAGCACGAGCGUAAGAAAAGCGCAGUAACGUAGAAUGCGAGAGAGGAAGACAAAAAUAUGCGACAUCUAUUUACAUAUGUAUGUAUGUAUGUAUUAUGUAUAAUAGCGAACAACGUUGAUGGAUAAGGCUGUAAUUUAAGCAUUUACAACUGGGAAACCCGAUAGGGUGUAUAAUAGACUUUAGCCAUUUACUUAUAACACAAAUACUUAAACAAAGCUAAAAAAUUAAAAAUUUAUUUUUGGGAAAGUGACAAACGAAUAAACUUUUUAUACCCAGUAUUCGAAGAGUAAAUAGGGUAUAUUGUAUUUGGAAGGAAAGAAGAAGGAAACGUUUGCGAUCCCAUAAAGAAUGUAUAUAUUCUUGAUCAGCAUAAAUAGCCGAGUGUGUAUCUGUCUGUCUGUCUGUCCGUCCAUUUUGAGCCACCAAAUUUUGCAUUCUGGCUGCUGUAUGCUAACACUGAUCCAAGUGAAGAAACUUUGGCCGUAAAAUGGUCGGUGAGGGUGGUGCUGUUGCUACCAAAAAACUUGCCUUUAACCUUAGUCAUUAAAGUACCAGUGCACCAGCUUCGCUUUGAUGUUGCGCCAUCAACUGCAUUAACUCGUACACACGCCCUUUUGCAAAACCAAUAAGCCUGCACUAAACAACAAUUAGCCUCUUUUCUGCAAACCAGGGCAACAACAGUAACGUUGUUUAUAUUAACCCCUUUUGCACCUCUCUACCCCUCCCUGGUUGACGACACAAAAUCAUGUGAACUGCAUCCAAAAAAAGUAGUUUCUUGCGUGGGUUCCAACCCACCAACAUAAGAAGAAGCAGGAUAUAUUUUCGGGUCUUUUAGAUAAAGAAAAUCUCAUAAGUACAAAAAAUAGUAGGCAGAAUAGCUGAAACAGAGAUGUGGUAGGCCCACUGUGCAUAUGAUUGCUUGUGAUCAGCUGUCCCUUUUUGCCUUUCAGGCAUAACGUUCCACCUUCUCUCACGAGAAAGCUCGCUGCCUGACUCUGUCAGCUUUAUAUGUACAAGUUGCUUGCGAGCAGAGCGGAAGAAUAAACAUACGUAAGUAUUAUCCAAUAAUAAUUCAAUGAGUGCAUGAUUCUUUUUAAUUCUUUAAACACUUUUAUUCUCUUCGGAAAACACAAUGUAAUUUUUAGCUCAUUGUUGCAUCUUUAACACUAACGAGUGAACGAGCCCAAACUUAGUACCAGUGAGAGUGAAAGAUAUUAUUUUGUUGGGGCAAUCUAUUACGUUAUCCCACCUUAAAAUCCUAUCAUAUCCUACCUAUCUUUGCCCCUGUGCGACAGUUUCCCUUGCCACGGGUAUUUCGAAUUCAUACAUCAUCAGUGUUUGGCAUUGAGUGCUAGUCAAACUGAAAAACCGCAAAUGAAUUGUAUUGUUGUGUAGGUGUUGUAAAUUUACAACAGAGCCUUGACGUUUUCGAGUCCUCGCUUCUAAGUUUGUGCGGCUCCUGGUUCUCCUCCUACUUUAAAGGGAAAAUUACAACGAGUUUUUCUGGAAUUCCAGUCUGGGGCGUAGCCAGGACAUUUCGCCCUUUUCCGAAUCUCUGUAUCUAAGCAUUGACUCUGGCGCUGUCGAGUUGGAGUUUUAGUUACAUUGUCGAGAUAAUUGUAUAUGUCUGUGGCGCAUAAAUAAAAAAUAAGUGACACAAGUACAUACAUACAUUUAUAUUCUAUUGCACUUCUCUGUAUUUUCUCCUUCCUUAUGGUACAUACUACAGUCAGAGGCAUUGGUGGUGAUGUGAUUACACUACUCGAAUAAAUUGAACUUUUUAUUUACAUUUCAAGCCCACAUUUACGGUUUUUUUCUAUGACAGCAUUUUAAAAAAAUUUUUUUGACUUUAAAAUUUUAGGAAAAGUAGAAACACAAUUAAAUCCUAUGGCCUUUAAUUUUUGUGUGUGCAGGUGCGUUAGUUUGACGUCGUUUAACAUAUUACUGAUAAUUUGUUUGAACAUUAAUUUUGAUGCAUCCAUAAGUUGAGAUGGAACCAAAUUUAAGUUAAGUAACUUUGUGAAAUGCAACUAAGAGGGAGAGGAAGAGAUACGAUAGGCAUAGGGAAAGAAAAUAGCCAGCCAGAGACCUGGAACAAAAUUCCUAGCACGAGUUAUUUAGUCUUUGGACCAAAUCAAUUUUGAAGAAAGUGUUUUGCGACAAACAUUUCUCCCUCUCUCUCUAUCUCUUACAAUUGUUAUGCCUCCCUUCAACAAAGUUUUCUCUGUUGCCAAAAAAAGUUAUUUGAGAAAAUAAUUAGGGAAAUUUUGGUAGGAAAUUUUUAGGGAAGCAUUUGUGUCUUGAAUAUACAGGACUCCAUUUCUAAUAAAUAGAGAACAUUCUUUCAGAUCUUUUUGGUGACAGCUUUAAAAUUGGUCUUUCCUUGCUGCGGCAACGUAUACUCAUUGCCAUUUGAACACUAAGCCAGUGAAAACGCGACUCCUGACUGGAUUUACGUCCUUGCACAGCUGCUUGGCUGGUUGGCUGAAUGUCUGGUUGGCUGGAGGCUUAGGCGUUUGAAUUAUGUGUGGAAAUACAUGCUCCUGCUCCUGUCUUUAUUUGUGGGUCUUCUGGUUUGAGCCCCGCCAGAGAGCAAUCCUCGCUUGCUCUUCGUUUUUUAGUUCAACAUUUAUUUGAAAUUUAUUAGAGCAUUUUUUCUAUUUUGGCUAUAUUUCUUCUCUUUGUUGUGUCCUUUGUCUCACUCUUCUGGCUGCCACUCCACCCUCAACAUUCUGUGUAUAUACCACUGACGUCAUUUCAACACUAAAUUGAUUUUCAACAAUGGAUCCCACCGCCCAAUCAUCAGGGUUGAAGGCGAGGGCCGUUUAUAGGGGUGUCAUCUGCAUUGAAUUAUACUCUGCUAUCUUUGCCAAUUUCUCUUGCCUAUUUUAAACAGAGAGCGAAAUCUGCAAAAUCCACAAUUUUCAAUAUAAUAUCUAUCGAACCAGACGUGUGAAACGCUUCUUACGCGUUUCACAAAUAUCCGGCACUCAGUACUACAUCUGCACCUUAGCGUUGUUUUGUCAAAUUUUAAAUUUUUUCUUCAUUUGUCAUCAGUCAUCUACAUCUAUAACACAUCUUACACCAACUGCAAAUAAAUUUCUUCAUUAUGGCUAUAAUAAUGAUCCAAUCGGAUCAAAUCGGAUCCAAUUUGAUGAUCUGAUAUAUAUGGUCAUUCCCUACGGAAUGGCGUUUUUAGUUUUCUUUUAUUUUCAAAUUUUUAGAUUUUGGGAGGAUUCCGCCCUUUUACACUUCUAACAGUGUGAGCAUACAGAAGUCUGAAUGCAAACUAUAGAGGUAUAUUCAUGUUAUCCGCUAUUCCUAAAAUGUUCGAGACAAUUUUAACUCCGCACUUGCAACAUCUCUGCAAAUCACUUAUAUCUUUAGGUCAGCACGGAUUUAUACGGCGAGGAUCAACAACCACUAAUAUUUUAUAGUUCACCUCCUUUGUCAUUAAAGGGUUCCAAGGUAACUUGCAGACGGAUGUUAUUUACACUGACUUCAGUAAGGAAUUCGAUUUUGUAAACAGACAUUCUAUUCUUGCACAAAAGCUCGACCUCCUAGGGUUUCCGUCCAAUCUUUUGAGAUGGAUUUCUAGCUACCUGUGUUCUAGGUCUCAAAGGGUCCUUUUCAAACCUCUUUACCUGUUAUGGUUACUUCUGGAGUACCACAGGGUAGCCAUUUAGACCCCUUACUUUUCACACUCUUUAUUAAUGACCUGCCUUCUGUAUUAACAAAUUCUCGAGUACUUACAUUUAAUUUCCCUCUCGCUUGCAAUCUGAUCUCAAUAGCUUUCAGUCAUGGUGUUGUGCAAAUAUGUUACACCUCAAUGCCUCUACGUGCAAAGUCAUGACUUUUCAUUGCUCCAGCCCCCCUAACUGGCUCCUUACACCCUCGCGGUAGUUCUCUUGAGAGAAUUACAUUAGUGGAUGAUUUUGAUGUUAAACUAGACCCCAAGUUAAAGUUUGUUGAACACAUUUCUACCAUGGUAAAUGAAGCCAUGGGUGUGCUUGGGUUUAUAAAGAGGUGGUCAAAGGAAUUUGAUGACCCCUAUAUACCGAAGACUCUGUAUAUCUCGCUUGUUCGUCAGAUUUUAGAAUACGGCUCAUGUGUAUGGUGCCCUCAGUAACACAUACAUCAGGACCGUAUUGAAUCAGUGCAGAAAAACUUUUUAUACCCGGUACUCGAAGAGUAAAUAGGGUAUAUUGUAUUUGUGCGAAUAACGGUUGUAUGUAACGCACAGAAGGAAACGGUUCCGACCCCAUAAAGUAUAUAUAUUCCUUAACAGCAUCAAUAGCCGAGUCUAUAGAGCCAUGUCUGUCUGUCCGUCUGUCCAUCCGUCCGUCUGUCCUUCUGUCCGUCCGUCCGUCUGUAUGUCUUAUUUGUCGGCUAGUUCUCAGAGACUAUAAGAGCUAGAGCCACCAAAUUUUGGCUCCAGGCUGCUGUAUACUAAAAACGCCAUUCCGUAGGGAAUGGCCAUAUCUAUCAGAUCACCAAAUUUGGAUCCGAUUGGAUCAUUAUUAUAGCCACAAUGAAGAAAUUAAUUUGCAGUGGCUAAACCCACCCGCAGCUUUUGUUGUUCUUUUCACAUUCUCUCAUUCACACUCUGCUCUGCUUCACUCGGCCUCUGCCUCUGCCUUCCCUGUGCAGCUGACUCUGCCGACUUUUAACCCACCCCGUCCCUCAGCUUAUAUUUGUUUUUUUUUGUGUGCGGGCGCUGCCUCUGCCUCUGCCGCGAGUCUGCAGUCUGAAAAAAUGUUAAAUUUGACAAAACACCGCUAAGGUGCAGAAGUAGUUCUGAGUGCCGGACAUAAAAGUUGUGACGCGUAAGAAGCGUCUCACACGUCCCUUCUCGUUAUUAUUUGCCCUGCGGGGCCUCAAAUGUGAUGCAACUGUGAGACUGCCAUCCUACCGUAGUAGACUUCUUCUAAUAAAUCUUCCAUCUUUAGUUAGUCGUAGAAAAAUACUUGGUGUAAUUUUUAUGCACAACUUGAUCAAGGGGGAUGUAGACAGCCCUGACUCGUUGAGCCACGUAAACUUUACGAUUCCCAUUAGACGCACUAAAAACUAUAUUCCUUUGUUCCUUCCACCGCGUAGAUCGAGUUAUGCCUUGCGCGAACCCUUUAGGGUUUUAUGCUCGGAUUAGUUUCAUUUUAGUUUUGUCUUGUUUUUGAUUUUGUUAAUUUUGCUUGCUUAGCUAUAGUUGCUCUAGUUUAGUUUUGUUUAGCUCUAAUUUUCCUCGAAUAUUAGCCUAACAUCUAUCUCUCCUGCAUGCUCGUGACCGGUUCGGUUAUUCGCGCUGCGCGUCAUGCGGCAGCGCCCCUCGGUCGGUUGGGCGGAAGAAGGGGUGCGUUCUGCUGGGUUCAGCCCGUAACAGACUUUGGCUUGGUGUCGCAUAGGCCACUUGAUGGUGAAGUCAUUGCAUAUCAACGUCCAGACAUAAAAACAAAAUUUGGUGGCUCUAGCUUUAAUAGUCUCUGAGAUCCAGGCGCUCAACAAGACGGAGGGACAGAUGGCCAUACAGAUAGACAGACAUAGACUCGGCUAGUGAUGCUGAUCAAGAAUAUAUAUACUUUAUGGGGUCGGAAACGUUUCCCUCUGUGCGUUACAUACAACCGUUAUUCGCAAAAAUACAAUGUACCCUAUUUACUCUUCGAGUACCGGGUAUAAAAAUGUCAUUUCUUAGGGAAUGACCGUAUUAAUCAAAUCAUCGAAUUGGUACUAGAUUCGAUCAUUAUUAUGGCCAGAAUAAAGAAAAUAAUUUUCAGUGGCUAGGGAAUGUGAACAUUGCUAGGAAACAUCUGCAAGCAGAAAAAAAUAAUAGGAAAAUAAAAUAAAAUAUGUACAUACAUAUGUACGUAUUUAUAUGUGUUUGAGCAAAGAUAAAAUGAUGUGUUAAUUAAUUAUUAUAUAUUUUCGUAAGUCAUGUCUCUCGGAGCACUUUUUCCAGCCUGUAAAUUAAGAGAAGCAAAAGCCAUGCAUAUUAUUUACAUGAAAAUUCCAUUAUGUUUUGGAAUGCAGAGAGGGAGGUACCUAACACCAGACAUCUUUAAAUCUUCAUGUAAUAUAAAUGUUAGCCCAGUGGCAGCAACAGGACCAAAAAGAGGAUGCUUAGGGUGGUGAAUGGAGAAAAGCUAUCUUUAACAGUAUCAUCAAAAUCCUUAUCAUCGUUAUGGCUGGUCAUUAAGUGUUUUCUAAAUAUGUAUACUCAUUGUCUCAUGGAUAAAGAUUCCCGCCGUCUAGCUCCUGUAGCUGGGAAAAAAACAGAGACUAAACUUAAAGCCGAAACUGUGAGGAACUCCACGCAGGGACACACGUAGUCAGAACGUUAAACUUUCGUAGUUUAUUUUACAUAAUGUUCACCGAAACGCUGAUAUAUCCUCUAAAAUCACCACACUGAGGUCGGAAACUGUGCAAGUCAGGAGGUCUGUCGUCAUCUUGUAGACUUCGGUGUGGCUCUCUCUUUGUCUUUGCCCCAAUGUGUGGUUCAAUGGUCAGAAACAUUGCAGACAACACCCAAGUGUGUGAGAGAGGGAGUGGGAGUAGUCAACGUUAGCUGGAAAGCUGUGCGCAAAAGGGAGAAAAAGGAUAACCCCAACAUGUCCCACGUGUGCUGUCUGUAUUAAGGGAGGAUACAAAUAAGGGGCAACAUUAACGUGCUGAAGAUUAGCAAGACAACAAAUUUAAAAUAAAAUCGAUAUUCACAUGAAAUGCGUUACGUUCUCAUUAAAGAUUUAAAGACAUGAGGUGAAUAAAGAAGUGGGGACUCAGAGGAAUGGGAUUUCCAAAAUUGUUUCAUUCAUUCAUUUCAUAAUGUAAAGAAAGUUGUGCAAAGGUGGCAAUAGAGAUGUGUUGAAUAAGUAUAUACGAUAGCCGGGUAUUUAAUUGAAGACAGGCUUUGACAGAUAACUGGAAAGCGAAAGCGUUACAAUUUUAAAUGGUUGAUCGAUUCUUCUGAUUACCUAAGUGUUCCAUUGAUUUUUUUAACUAAUUCAACUUUUUACCAUGAUUGGUAGUUCCGUCUCUUCCAAUUUUCGUUCGUUGCCAGAAAAAGAAGCGUAGAAUUCACGUCCGCAGCAGGUGCUUCUCUCUCUCUGCGCUUCGUUUAGCCGCUGUCGACAGGAAUCUGAGUGGUAGCUCCCACCUAAAGUAAAAUGUUUUUGCCCUGCUCCACAAUGCAACCUGCAUCUCUCUGUGCUCCAUUGUUGACUGGAACUCACCUUCAGUUAAAAGUUAUCUCCUAAAAUGAAUGUUUAUGGUCUUUGGAUUUUGUGAAACCCGGAGGCCUAUAAAUCAUACCAGCCAUAGACUGCAAUAAAUUUCUGGCUGAAUAGAAAGUAUGAAUAAAUGGUCUAAAAUACAAAUUUUAACUAUGGUUGCGAACCGCAGUGGAACUUAAUUGCUAAGGAGAGAUAAAUUAUGAAUGAUGCGGGAAUAAGUUACGCUGAUAUCGAGAUCAAUAAACCACCUUUCGCAACUGGCAAGCCACAAUACAUGUCCGAUAGAUUGGGCUCUUCUUCCAUUCGAAAGAUAUUCUCAGAUGGGGAAACCCUUCGCUUCGUUCUGGUGGGCGAGAAGAACCCCACUGCCAACUAGUUGCUUUGACCAGUUAACAACAUUGUAAUGGCAGUUUUUGGAGUGAGAAUGGGUUGGCCAUUUCAACGAUGCCAAUUUAAACGUACUUAACGAACAAGACCAGAACUACUGCCACAUCUUUGCAGAGCAUACUGCAUACGUAAAAGGUUAGAAUAAAACACAUGUUGCAAAAGUUGCAAAAUAUCGCGACUCCAAAUUGAGGGAAAAACAAAGUGCGCUUUAAUAAUAAAGGAAAAGAGGAACCCUGAGAGAAAGUUCUACAGAGUUAAUAUUGAAAAUUUUCCCUAUUCCUUAGUUGCUUGGCAGAUCACAUAAUUUGUCAGGCCACAGCAUGUAUGAGUCCUAAAAAGGCACCAGCAAUUAGUGUGUGGCGCCGAGUGCCAUUCUCGGGAAAUUCCGUGCGAGUGAUUUUUAAUUAAUAAACUCAUUAGGCAGACCAGACCGGACGUUCAAUGCUUUUUCUCCUUGUUUCUCUUAUGUUUUAGUAAUUUUAAUUACCGGCAGCUGGUCACUGUCCCCACUUUUACCGAGGGCCUUUACCCUUUCUGUUAGAGCUCUUCAUAAUUUCCUGGCAUUCUAACAAUGUGCCGACUAUUUUUAUGUUUUAAACAGCUCUGACAGUCGACAGCCGCAACCUGUCGUUCAGCUUUUGACGUGUUGCAUUCUGUGGUCUGUGAGAGCAUAGUACCAGGUUUUAGUUGUGCAGAAGGGCACCAAAAGCAGACUCAAAACGGUCCUGGCCUGGCCUAAACGUGCCUAAAAAUUAAAUACAAUUGUUGUGUCAGUUAAAAGUGGAGAGGGCUGUACAGACCAAGGACAGAGGCCGGGUACGCUUAGCACCAAGUGUCAUAGUUUGGGUUUGUAUGUUUCUGUUGCCAUGUUGCCAAAUCGGUCUUCCCUGACACGGACUCCUCUUCGUCGCUGGUAGUAUGUGGUUUACAAUGCAGUGGCGUCGACACCUGAAAGUCACCGCGCCGACAGCGACACAGAAAGUACGAAAAAUUACACGGAUUUAUGAAAAUGGCAACAAAACUGUGCUAAACACGUUGACGCGUUCCACACGCAAGCUUGGAAAUUAUGUGCGGUUCUAGGGAAAACACACCACACACCACACACCACACCCUACUCUUAUGUCCUUCAGCUAGACCACAAAGCAAAGCUUUAAUUGAGAAAAAAAAAAUAAACUCCACAAGGAUAACAGACCCUCUAAUAUGUACAAGGAUUGGAGGGAAAAUUCCAUAUUCCAAGUUUUCUUAUUUUAUUUUGAUUAUUUCAAAUCGCUAUUAAAAUAAAUAUUGUGUUAUGUAUUAGUUUCCAUAUUUUAAAAUAUGUGCUUAGAAUAUAGGGAAAUAUGAGAAAUAUGAUAUAUGAGAUGUUCCUUCCAGAAGAGAGCGGCCCCAGAACAUCAACAUCAUCAGUCGCCGGACCAAGGACCACAGUGCGCUCGAAUUUUUGUUCAGAAUCUCCAACUUCCAAAAUACAUAACGCAGCAAACAAGACUUUGGUUGUUCAAACUGCGUUUUAUCGUUUGUCGUUUUAAUUUAGAUCUAUUCUUUUAUAAAGAUCUUUCCUAUCUCUCCCUCUAGUUGUGGUGAUUUUGGGUACCAAGUAGCUGGCAAAUUGUAAGCGAAAUAUUUGAAAUUUAUAGCAAUUUUCACAGUCAAUAAAUGAAGUUGUUUUCAGCAGUGUUGGAUUUGUGAUUUAUGUUUGCUAAUGUUUUCCCCCUGAAAGUACAGGAAAGGAACGUUUGUUAUUUAUUUUUUAUAUUCUCUCUGCAUUUGGAAAGUGCAUUACAUGAAAAAUGAAAACUAUUUAUAUAAUUGCAUUUUUUUUUUAAUCCUGUCAAAAAUUGCAUACAAAAAAAGAACAACAAAAUCUAUUCAGGACUGAAAUUUAUGUUAAAUCCCCCACUUCUCCUCAUGGGUUUGCUUUUUGCCGUUUUGCCGCAAAAACGUAUAAAUAUUUAGAUGGCAGCAAAUAGAAAGGAUAAGGGAAAUCAAGCUAAAAAGAAAAAUCUGGAAGGUUAUGGUUUAUUGCAUAAACUAAAUGUUAGUGUGUUGUUGCAGCAGUGUUAAUUUCUCGGGACUGUGUAGGAAGAGAGAGAACAGCCCCAUAUUUUAUUUGUCUACUCUCCAGACAAAAUGGGAGAAAUGGUAAUUUGUGAUCGUUUUCGUGUGGAAAAUUAAUACAUUUUUUCAGUUACAGCCUGGGACAGCGAUGGUUACAUAGUUUUCCCCCUACCCAGGCUCUUGUAAAACAUUUCCCUUCUUGUGUUACUUUGUCAUAAGUGUUCAAGUGUUCAAGGCGGCUAGGAUAAAAACAGUUUAGCAUAAAAAUGAAAAGUCAAGAUGUGGCCACAUAAGUUGAAGGAGAGCGGAUGGUGGCUGCAGUUGAAAGUGGAACUGGACCUGUAGUAGGGCUCAACUUAACGUGAACUCUCAGUUUGGCUUUAUCUGAAUCGCAUACACUUCUUUGUCGUAUUCAAAUGUCUGGAAGAAGGGGAAACGAGCAAGGAAUCUCUGAAUUAUUUGUGGGAUCUCGACGAAAAAUGGGCAGACAGGAAACAUAACGGACAUCUUUUCGAAAAUGGAGUGAGAGAGAGCGAGAGCGAGAGCUAGAAGGGAAGCAGGAUGUGGCCAGUAACGCUGCAGACAUUGCAGGGAGUUUGCCAAAUAUCUAGAAAUCCGAAAAACAAGAAAGUGUCUGCUAAAGAAAUGCAAGGCGGAAAGAGCCAUCCCUACCCUCUCUAAUACCACGAAUAACCUAUCCUCCUUAUUAGGUAACCAACCAUAUUUGUUCAGAAAAUAAGAUUCUACUGAAUUUGCUCGGCUGAGCUGGAUGAGAUUGGAAUGCCCCAGAGAUCCAUCCUAUUGAUUAAUGGUGAAGGGCUCUUGCUAAUACUCAAAAACAGAACAAUUUCCUGAAUUCGAACCAAAAGAAGUCUGUGAUUUUUACAAAGAAAAGUUUUAGAAUAAAUUUACGUGAUUAGUAUUAUUUAGUUUUAAAAUUUACUUUGGAUGAAUUUGUUACAUAUAUUAAAGUUCUGUUCAUUAAUCACUUAAACUAUGAUUGUUGCUAAUUUGCUUAAUUUUGUAGCUGCAGAGCACCCAUCCAUCCGCAUGUAACACGGAAAAGGGAUCGAAAGGCAAACAAAAGGAAAGAAGGGAAAAAUCCCUUUGAUUGUAGUUCUACACACCUUUCUACCCGCCUGUACAUGUUCCCAAAUGUUAGCCCGUUGUUUCGGUUUGUUGAGGCAGGCCUUGAAAAAUGUAAACGAAAUUUUUGGCCAGACCAUAUCUAGUCAGGCCUUAACCGAUACGGAUCGUGGAAAAGAGAACUAAAAGCGUUUGAGACUGGGCCGAUUGCCGCUUCGCUUUGGCAAUUUAUCUGGCCCCAUCUGCAAUUGUUGACUUUGUGCCGACGACUGGCCCGCAAUGUACGCUAUUGUCCUGCUUUGCAUAAUAGCUAACGAACUAGGAUUUUUUCCACAUUCCCACAUUGGUCUGGUUUGGGCCCCACGCCAUGCUGGUCUCUGUGUCUGGGCUUGCAACACUCCCUUCCAUGUGGAGCUUGGCGUUCGCUUCAUUGGCAUAUCAAUCAAAGACCAAAAACGGAAAAUGAAUUCGCUUACUCACACCAACCGAAGUGGGAUAGGAAGAAGGAAAGGUAUGCUGUGGAGAAGGGCCAGUGUGCAGAUGCGGAAUUUUUUCUGCUGCCUCGGCCGGAUGCCAUUUUAAUUAAGUGUUGGCUGCCUUGGCAUCCGCGGCAAGGACGAAGCCUAGCAGGAGUCCGCGUCUCCGUGUGUGCCGUCGUGGGUCCUGACCAAGAGAAAUUUAACAUUCAGAUGGUAGAGCAUAUCUCGGUCUAUACUCUGGAUGGAAGUGACAGCUCAAAAUCAGAGAGGAGAGGGCGAGAGCGGCUUGGGGCUGGCUAUUGCGCUCCAUUGCGACUGACAGUUUAAUUAUUAUUUUUGCAAAUCAGUUAAUUAAUUAAGAUACAUAAAAACUCUUUGGCUAAGGUUGUGGUCUUUGGAUGUGGGUGAUGAAAAUUAUAGUUCUCCAUCGAGAAUUGAUCAUUAAUCAAUCGUUAGAUUAAAAAGCGCUAAGUAUGGGGAACGCCUCUUCAACAGCUCUUACGAGAAAGAACGAGAAGGGACGUGUGAGACGCUUCUUAUGCGUCACAACUUUUAUAUCCGGCACUCAGUACUACAUCUGGACCUUGCGGUGUUUGGUCAAAUUUUACAUUUUUUCUUCAUCUGUCUUCUACUCCUUCAACACUUCUCACACCAACGCGCUCCUUUAGGUCGCCCCCCUUCCCUAGACCCGCACACUGCAGAAUCGCGGCAGAGGCAGAGGCCGCACACUGCACGAAGCAGAGUGUGAAUGAGAGAAUGUGCAAAAAACAAAUAUAAGCUGCGGAACGGGGUGGGUUUACUGGGUUACACUGGAAAUUAAUUUCUUCAUUGUGGCUAUAAUAAUUUUUACUCUUCGAGUACCGGGUAUAAAAAGAGUACGCUACGGUCCACUACAAGCUUUACUGAUGGAAGUUGAGUUUGGAGCAAGAAGCUAUUUUUUAAAACACUUUUACUUUACUAAUUGUUCAUACCCGGUACUCUAAGAUUAAAUUGGGUACAUUGUAUUUGUGUUCGGAUCAAUGUUCGAAACGCACAGAAGGACACUUUUUCGACCCCAUAAAGUAUAUAAAAACAUCAGCCACUAUGUUUAAUCUAUCCAUCUGAAGCCAUUACAAAAAAAGUGAUAGGUAGCAUGCCUCAAUAUUUCACUAACUCGGUUCUCUAGUUAGGCUUCCUUUGACACGGAGUGCACCCACGAUAAUAACUCACUUUUCUGUGUAGAAGCCACCAAUGUUGGUCACUUUAGUCUCAGUUCCAACACAAAAUAAAACAUUUUGAUGGCUUGAUGUGUGGUGCAAGCAUUUAAUGGUUUCAUACAACCUUCUCUAUGCAACCGGCAGCUAGAGGUGCCUCUUCAUCAUCGUCCUCAUCAUCGUUGUCGUUUCAGAGUUCAGUCGGCCUGCUUGUCUGUGUGCUCUGCUCUCGUCAUCAUUUCCAUCAGGCUGAAUAGCUUUUCAAAUGCCAAAUUUAUGCAAAUUUUUCCGAGAAGGUGAGAGACAGGUGCACACGCCAUUUUGCACCCGAAUAUUGAUGCUAAGGAUCCUGGUGUCCUGAAACCACACAUUGAUGCUUCACGUUCCCCUUUCUGACUCUCUUCCCUCUUUUUAUACCUGGUCCACGAAGAUUAAGUAGAGUAUAUUGUAUUUGUGGUCGGCAGUUGAUAUAAGUAAUAUACAUAUAUUCUUGAUCAGCAUCAGCAUCAGCAUUGAUAGCCGCGUCGAUAUAGCCGUGCGUGUCUGUCCGUCCUGAUGAGCGCCUAGUACUCAGAGACCAGAAGAACUAGAGCGACCAUUAUAGCCAGAAUGAAGAAAUUAAUUUGCAGUGGCUACAUCCACACUCUGAUUCGCGCAGUGUUCGGCUCUAGGGGAGGGGGGGGGGGGGGGGGGGGGGGGGGGGGGGGGGGGGGGGGGGGCGAGGUAAAAGAACAGGUUGGCGUGAGAAAUGUUUUAAAGGAUAUUUUAUCAUAAUUAACAUUUUAAAUACAUUUUUCAGUUCGUAUGGGGGCGGCAGGAAGGCGUGGGCUAAAAAACUCAAUGUUUUCGAAUUUCUAAUUCAGUGUAACAAGAAUUCAUGCAACUUUGUAGAAGUCUACUCUAUUGGUGCGGUUAAAAUGAGUAAAUUGUUUGUUAUGUUGCAGACAAAAAAAAAGCAACACUGCACUCUGGGUCAAUCAAUUCUUCUCAUAAGUUUCUCCAUUUUAAGUUAAAUAAAAUUUAAAGUACUUGAAAUAAAUUAAAUACGAAAAAAAAACCAGAGAACCGAAACGCAAUAAGGGAAAUACUGAAUCGGUGCUGGAAAUAAAUGUAGGAAAAUCAGUGUGAAAAUACCCAGAGGAUGGUCACAAAAUAAGCAGGUCUCGUAAUGGUAAUUGGCCUUGUGAGGUUCUGGUCAGGCAGAGACAACAACUUAGCUACAUAAGAUAAAUUGACUAGACGCAGAAAGCGGAGCUAGCUGGUAACAACAACAAAAUAUGAAGAGAAAUAAAGUGGAAGAUCACUAUGAAAUUAAUUAACUGUCCUCGAAAAAAAAUGAAUGGUUGUGCAGUCCAGUUGCAACUGCAAUGCGCCCAGAUAUAUACUCUGGUCGUAUAUCUGACUUAUCCAGCCCGAUAAUAAGGGGACACCCUUACCUUGAGGUUUUCCCUGAGGUGACAAGACGGCUUUUGAAAUGUAUAGCUCCACCUGGGGCCAGCAAAAGUUUUAACCAAAAUUUCAGUACUACUACUAGUAAAUUUCCUCUCAUCCGCUACGGGACAGACACUUUGUCAACUAGAACUCAGAAAGUGUCAGUACUAAUUAUAUUUUUCGAUAGAAGUUCCGCCUGAAAAAACGAAUGUUGCCACAUUGAACUCCGAUUACGAGUGGUAGACUAAUUACAAAAAGACGGCCAUCGAUAGAAUGGCACAAACAAAAUUCUCAAUUUGAUAAGAAAAGUUCUCGUCGUUUUUGUGUGGGCAUCUUCUUAUUUAAGUAAGCAUAACUGUUGGCUUCCAAAAAUGGAUGCAAUUUUUUGGAACAAUGCCUCACAUCUCCACACCACAGCACAACAUACUUUUCCAUGCACUGGACAAGCAAUUGCAGCUAGAAAUUAAAUGUUCAGUACUGAUUUUUAAUCAAAAAGAGGUAUGUUUCAAAACAAAACAAAAUGGAAAGUAUAAAACAUACGAAUUAAAGAUUAUUCAAACGCACUACAGUGCUAUGGUUACAAUAGAGCACAGGACCAACAGCAGCAAUGGAGCAGGGCUCCCUAAAAAAAUAUCCUGAGAGAGAGGAGCAGCAGCUCUGAAAUUCUAAGCUGUCCGGCAUGUUUGAUGUACAAAUCCCUCAACUGAAAUAGAUUUACGUCACUGCCAGCCGACGGCGCGGGGCUCGCUUGACAAAUGGAGGGAGAUGCAGUGUGCGGGAAAGGUUUUAGCCAACUGCAAUUGCAAUUGCGUUCGGUUGCCCAUUUUUGGGUAUUUUCUCUAAAGCUGCAGCCCGAGUUUGGCUUUGGCAAUUUAUUUGCAAAUAUUUUUCAACAUGGAAAAUAUGUUGCAUUCCCCUGCACGUCCCUCGGUACGAAGAGCUUUUAGACAUUUAUUUCAAAGUGUAACAGUUGUUAGACUUUAUUCUUUUUCUGCCUUUUACAGUCACUAGUUUUAGGGGCACAACGGAAAAGGCCGAAGCAGGAUACGGACCCAACUGAGGCACAAGGGAAAUCUAUUUAAUUAAAAAAUUGUGUACAACAAACCAACCAAAUUAGACUAUCUUUUUCUCUAAUUCUUGCACUUUAAUUUUGCUGUCUUAAUGUGGUUGGCAUUAAACUUUUUUUUUGUACUGCUGUGACAUUGUUCCAGUAUUUUUUCAUCUAUUUAUAAACCAGUUAGGAACAUAUAUAUCUUUUUAUUAAUAGCUAGAAUCGGGUGGGUCUGAUGUGCCACUCAAUUGCGGAUUUCGCUUUUGAUUUGUCAAAGCCUUUAGAGGGCUGUUGCCUGCAGGACAUAUAUAAAAUAUCACAAUAGCCUGGCAGGACGCUUUCUGUCUUUAACAGUUGGACACUAAUUCUCACCACACAUGGGCACAUACAGUGACUUUGGGACAUAGGGACAUACUCUCAGGGAAGUGCGUACGGGUCCUGGUGAUUUGUGACAUGCUUGCAGUCCAGCAAAACUUUUUUCAUUCUCUCGCUGUCCUUGUCUUUGUAACUCUUUAACUGAAAGUAUUCAAUUAAAGUCACGUCCUCCCAGUCUCUUCCCUCUCAACAGUCUCUAUAUAUAUUUUAAUGAGUAAUGAUUUAGAUAUAAGACAUACCUAUUUUCGACUUUUCCUGAGCUUUUAAAAUCAAAUUUUAGUAAAAAAUUAAAAUAAAGUUGAGCCAUUUCCACUUUCUCUACUCUGACGUGCAGUGCUAUUAUGUCCAACAUUUCUACAACUCAAAGAAAUAAAACAGCUUGCAAUGUAAAAAUCGGACUACCUUCUAGUUUUUAAUUUUUAUACCCGGUACUCGAAGAGUAAAUACGGUAUAUUGUAUUUGUGCGAAUAACGGUUGUUGUUACGCACAUAAAGAAACGUUUCCGACCCCAUAAAGUAUAUAUAUUAAUGAUCAGCAUCAGUCGAUUGAGUCAUGACCGUCUGUCCGUCUGUCUGUCCGUACGUCUUGUUGAGCGACUGGAUCUCAAAGACCAUAAAAGCUAGAGCCACCAAAUUUUGCAUCCAGACUUCUGUAUGCUCACACUAUUACAAGUGUAUUUCCAAAAUGAGCCCCGCCCCCACAAAAGGGCGAAAACCUUCCAAACCUACAAUUUUGAAGAUAAAAAAUAAAAACGCGAUUCCGUAGGGAAUGACCAUAUCUGUCAGAUCAUCAAAUUGGGAUCCGAUUGGAUCAUUACUAUAGUCACAAUGAAGAAAUUAAUUUUCAGUGGCUAAAAUCACCCCGUCCCGCAGUUUAUAUUUUGUUUUUUUUUGCAAAUUCUCUCAUUCACACUGUUCUUUUCGCAGUGUGCGGCCUCUGCACCGGGUCUGCAGUGUGUUGGUUGAGGGAAUGGGGCCGAGCUAAAGGAGCGUGUUGGUGUGAGAAGUGUUGUGGAUGUAGAAGACAGAUGAAGAAAAAAUGUUAAAUUUGACAAAACACCGCUAAGGUGCAAAUGUAGUACUGGGUAACGGGUAUAAAAGUUGUGACGCUUAAGAAGCGUCUCACACGUCCCUUCUCGUUAAAAAUCCGUUCCUGGCUUUUUUAAUAAAAUGUUUUUUUUUUUUUUUUUUUUUUUUCUCUCUCUUUAUAUUUACAAUCUGUUUUUAAACAAUAAGUAAAUUGUAUAAUUAACAUUCAAUUAACAGAAAUAGCAGUUUUCCAAUGAGCCCUGCUAUUAUAUAUAACAUCUUUUUAGUUUGUUAAAUUUAUCUAUCAGGGAUAUCGAGAAUGUGGUAUCUUUUCAGUCUUCUUACUGUUAGGCUAUUGUCUAAUAGACUUAAGGCUAAAUUAUUUUCGUGGUUGUGGAGUCUGUCGAUGUAUUUCUUACUAGUUUUCUUUAUUUCUUCUUUAAUGGUUGGAAUAUUCAGAUCUUUGUGNNNNNNNNNNNNNNNNNNNNNNNNNNNNNNNNNNNNNNNNNNNNNNNNNNNNNNNNNNNNNNNNNNNNNNNNNNNNNNNNNNNNNNNNNNNNNNNNNNNNNNNNNNNNNNNNNNNNNNNNNNNNNNNNNNNNNNNNNNNNNNNNNNNNNNNNNNNNNNNNNNNNNNNNNNNNNNNNNNNNNNNNNNNNNNNNNNNNNNNNNNNNNNNNNNNNNNNNNNNNNNNNNNNNNNNNNNNNNNNNNNNNNNNNNNNNNNNNNNNNNNNNNNNNNNNNNNNNNNNNNNNNNNNNNNNNNNNNNNNNNNNNNNNNNNNNNNNNNNNNNNNNNNNNNNNNNNNNNNNNNNNNNNNNNNNNNNNNNNNNNNNNNNNNNNNNNNNNNNNNNNNNNNNNNNNNNNNNNNNNNNNNNNNNNNNNNNNNNNNNNNNNNNNNNNNNNNNNNNNNNNNNNNNNNNNNNNNNNNNNNNNNNNNNNNNNNNNNNNNNNNNNNNNNNNNNNNNNNNNNNNNNNNNNNNNNNNNNNNNNNNNNNNNNNNNNNNNNNNNNNNNNNNNNNNNNNNNNNNNNNNNNNNNNNNNNNNNNNNNNNNNNNNNNNNNNNNNNNNNNNNNNNNNNNNNNNNNNNNNNNNNNNNNNNNNNNNNNNNNNNNNNNNNNNNNNNNNNNNNNNNNNNNNNNNNNNNNNNNNNNNNNNNNNNNNNNNNNNNNNNNNNNNNNNNNNNNNNNNNNNNNNNNNNNNNNNNNNNNNNNNNNNNNNNNNNNNNNNNNNNNNNNNNNNNNNNNNNNNNNNNNNNNNNNNNNNNNNNNNNNNNNNNNNNNNNNNNNNNNNNNNNNNNNNNNNNNNNNNNNNNNNNNNNNNNNNNNNNNNNNNNNNNNNNNNNNNNNNNNNNNNNNNNNNNNNNNNNNNNNNNNNNNNNNNNNNNNNNNNNNNNNNNNNNNNNNNNNNNNNNNNNNNNNNNNNNNNNNNNNNNNNNNNNNNNNNNNNNNNNNNNNNNNNNNNNNNNNNNNNNNNNNNNNNNNNNNNNNNNNNNNNNNNNNNNNNNNNNNNNNNNNNNNNNNNNNNNNNNNNNNNNNNNNNNNNNNNNNNNNNNNNNNNNNNNNNNNNNNNNNNNNNNNNNNNNNNNNNNNNNNNNNNNNNNNNNNNNNNNNNNNNNNNNNNNNNNNNNNNNNNNNNNNNNNNNNNNNNNNNNNNNNNNNNNNNNNNNNNNNNNNNNNNNNNNNNNNNNNNNNNNNNNNNNNNNNNNNNNNNNNNNNNNNNNNNNNNNNNNNNNNNNNNNNNNNNNNNNNNNNNNNNNNNNNNNNNNNNNNNNNNNNNNNNNNNNNNNNNNNNNNNNNNNNNNNNNNNNNNNNNNNNNNNNNNNNNNNNNNNNNNNNNNNNNNNNNNNNNNNNNNNNNNNNNNNNNNNNNNNNNNNNNNNUAACUGGCAUGUCGGCCGUAUAUAGGGUGUAGAGAAUUGGUCCCAAUACGCUUCCUUGUGGGACGCCUGAGUUGAUGAGAAGUAGUGAUGAACUAUCGGUUUUCUGCUGCACGUAAAAGCAUCUUCUAGCCAGAUAUGAUUUGAUUAAUAAAUAGUACGGAGCAGGUAGCCAUUUCUUUAUCUUGUACAACAAACCUUUGUGCCAGACUCGAUCGAACGCUUGUUGAACAUCAAGAAAUUCAGCAGUGCAGUAUUUUUUGUUUUCAAAUGCCGAAACUAUAUCAUUAAUAACCCUGUGACAUUGCUCAGGGGUCCCGUGACCCCUCCUGAAUCCGAAUUGGUAUUCAGGAAUGAUGGAAAGUUCGUCUAAAAUUGGUAACAUUCUCUUCAAUAGUAUUUUUUCAAACACUUUCGAGAAAAUUGUCAACAGACUAAUGGGACGGUAUGAUGUCAAUUCCGUUUCUAUUUUGUUUGGUUUUAGGAUNUCGAGUUCUUUUAUUGUGAAUCUUGGUGGGAGAUAAAUCGCUGUUAUUGAUACAUCUGCGUGCAUACAUUUUAUCUGAAUUGUGGCAGCUUGCAUAGCGUUUUCCCUAGUACUGUCCAUGAUUUGAAAUUUAAGGCCCUGCUUGACAAGAAUUGCAGCACCUCCAUGAGCUCUAUCUGAUGGAUGGUCAGCUCUUACUGUGUCGUAUCCAGUAACUUUAAAAAAAGAUUUGCUAGUGAAAUGUGUUUCUGAAAUAAGCAUGACGUCAAUGGCAUUCGUUUUUAAAAAUAAAGCUAUUUCAUUUACAUGGUUGGAAAGCCCAUUGGCAUUCCAUAUUCCUAAGUUUAGAUUUAUUUGCAUAGCUUAUUUACAAGUAACAUUAUCAUGUUAAGUAAAUUAUUGGUAAGUUGAGAUUGUUUUUCUAGAAGCUGUUCUAUUCUUUCUAGAGACUUGUUCGAGUUACUAUUUCCUGCAGCAACUUGAGCGUAUGAUUGGUAAUCUUUGGGUUGUUGGGUCGAAUUAUUAGACGGAGCAAAUGAUUGAUAUGUACCAUGGUCAUUUUUAUUUUUGUCAUCUUUGGUGUUUCUCUGGUGGUUGCGUCCGCUUACUAUUUUUUUUGAUAUAAGAUCCUGAUAGACUUUACACCCUUUGUAACUAGCAGCAUGAUCUUCGUUGCAGUUGGCACAUUUUGCUGGUUGCUCUUUAUCUUUUGGGCAAACGUUGCUGGGAUGGUUAAGAGAGCAUUUCACACAUCUGUGAGUUUUGGCACAAUAUGACUUUGUGUGUCCAAAUUCCUGGCAACGAUAACACUGAACGAUUUCUUUAGUUUUACGGGGUGGUUCUAUAUUAACAACUGCGUUACCAAUGAGUUUAACUUUGUAUAUAUCUAAGUUCUUAUUGUUGGGCUCAAUGUCUAAGUAGAACAAAUUCAAUGGCUCUUUGGUUACACGACUUUUAAUAUUACUAAUGUUUCUAACAGCGUGACCUUUGGACUCCACAUCAUGCUUGAUUAAGUCGAUAUCCGCUGAGAAUGCUCUCUCAUGUUUAAGCUGGUAUGUGUGNUAUCUGAAUUGUGGCAGCCCGCAUAGCGUUUUCCCUAGUACUGUCCAUGAUUUGAAAUUUAAGGCCCUGCUUGACAAGAAUUGCAGCACCUCCAUGAGCUCUAUCUGAUGGAUGGUCAGCUCUUACUGUGUCGUAUCCAGUAACUUUAAAAAAAGAUUUGCUAGUGAAGUGUGUUUCUGAAAUAAGCAUGACGUCAAUGGCAUUCGUUUUUAAAAAUAAAGCUAUUUCAUUUACAUGGUUGGAAAGCCCAUUGGCAUUCCAUAUUCCUAAGUUUAGAUUUAUUUGCAUAGCUUAUUUACAAGUAACAUUAUCAUGUUAAGUAAAUUAUUGGUAAGUUGAGAUUGUUUUUCUAGAAGCUGUUCUAUUCUUUCUAGAGACUUGUUCGAGGUACUAUUUCCUGCAGCAACUUGAGCGUAUGAUUGGUAAUCUUUGGGUUGUUGGGUCGAAUUAUUAGACGGAGCAAAUGAUUGAUAUGUACCAUGGUCAUUUUUAUUUUUGUCAUCUUUGGUGUUUCUCUGGUGGUUGCGUCCGCUUAUUAUUUUUUUUGAUAUAAGAUCCUGAUAGACUUUACACCCUUUGUAACUAGCAGCAUGAUCUUCGUUGCAGUUGGCACAUUUUGCUGGUUGCUCUUUAUCUUUUGGGCAAACGUUGCUGGGAUGGUUAAGAGAGCAUUUCACACAUCUGUGAGUUUUGGCACAAUAUGACUUUGUGUGUCCAAAUUCCUGGCAACGAUAACACUGAACGAUUUCUUUAGUUUUACGGGGUGGUUCUAUAUUAACAACUGCGUUACCAAUGAGUUUAACUUUGUAUAUAUCUAAGUUCUUAUUGUUGGGCUCAAUGUCUAAGUAGAACAAAUUCAAUGGCUCUUUGGUUACACGACUUUUAAUAUUACUAAUGUUUCUAACAGCGUGACCUUUGGACUCCACAUCUUGUUUGAUUAAUUCGAUAUCCGUUGAGAAGUGCAAAUUCUUAAUAACAACUCUGAAUGCCCUCUCAUGUUUAAGUUGGUAUGUGUGAAAUUUGACAGAAUCUUUAGUAAGAGUUUUAACAAGUUUCCUGUAUUCUUCAAUAGACUUUACCAUAACUCUCACAUGACCAUCGCGUUGUACUUUAUAAAAGAAAAGCUCUUUUUUAAUUGUAGUCUCGAGGUAAACUAGCAUUCCUUUUAUAUCACUGACUUCAGAUAAGAAUAUAGGUGGCGGCUUGGCAGAUUCAGUUAAGCUAUCUUCAGUUAUCAUGUCCAGUGCUUCGUUUUCAUCUUCAUUUCCGUUAUUUGGCGUACUGUCGCUUAGGAGGGCAUAUUGAUUGGAGCUGGUUCUGGGUGCUAAGUCCAGAGCGAUUUUUUUCUUUAGUAGAAUAGGAGAGACUUGGUUUUGUCUCUUGACUGCCUUUGACUUCAAUUUUACUCUCUGCCAGUUCCAAACCGUUGUGUCGUCUUCGUCGUCGUUCAUGAUAACAACAACACUUUGUUAUUGCUUAUCAGUAACCACUAUUUUGUUUGCUUUUGUUUUGUGAAUCGAAUAGUACUUUUGCUUUAUAUUUACGAACUGAAAGUUUUUGCUAAGGCAACUUCGGCUCAAAAAUUUACUUUUAUUUCCGAAAUUUUAUUUUCACUUUCUCUCCUAGAUGUUGCUCCUACGAGCAGCUCCGUUCGACUGAAUAAAAUGUAGCAUUGCUAAACAUAUUUCUGCCAUUUUUUGUUUGACACACUUUAAAAAAUCUUUUAAAUCCUUUGAUUUUUAGUUUUUUGUAGUAAUUUAUUUAUUUUGUGAAUGAUAAAUUAUGCACUUCCCUCUACAAAUCAUAGAAGAAAAUAAAGGUGGUCACAGCAAACAAUUAAGCCAAUAUUUUGCUCGGCUAGAUAAUAGAUGGAAUAUCGGAAAUAGAUGCUCACAGCACAAGGACACAUACAUAAAACCACAAUAACAAGACCCAAAUGCAAAACCAUUAUGAUGAUAAAGAUGAUGCUCAGCCUGCCGAUGAUACCGCCUCUAGGCUUCUUCUACCGUACAACCAUUACCAGCCACUUCGUAUCCAUUUAUGGCGAUUCAUUUUAAAAUAAACACUUGGCAAAGAUCGCAUCAUUUGAAUUGAUUCAUUUUACAUUUCAGUUGAAAUUUUAAAGCGGGCGUGGCUGUGGGUCCGGGCCCAACUCUGACCACCCAGGCAGACCCAGCCACAUGCCAGCCCAGCCCAGACAGUCGUCAGUUGUAGGCCUUUUGAGGCAUAAAGAUAACUUAAGUUGUUCCCACCGGAGGGAAAAAGUUCAGCAGGAACAGCAUUCGCACUUUGUCUCAAAGGGAAGCACUGGAGUUUACCUUUUUACGCCAACAGUUGAGGGGUGAACGCGUUGAGGAGCAUCCCAGAGAGGAUACUUACAGUGACACGUGAACGUGCUAAGCAAUGAGAGCUUUUGUGACGGUUUGGCUGGCAGCCAGAUGAGCAGCAGCUCUGUGGCGUUCAAGAAAUCAUGAACUAAAACUUAGAAAGACAAUUAAAAAUUCUAUUUGUGGCUGCGUUGAGCAAAUGUGCCUCAGACACAGUCCUGGAAAUAUGUGGGUGGCUAAUGAAAUGACUAAGAUAGUAGACAGGCAUCACAGCUGGCUGUGUACAGGGAGGACAAAGAAAUGAAGAUACAUAUUCUCUCGAUCGUACUUUUGAUGUAUUCGAUUUGAGUAAAGGGAAUAACGCAAAUCCAAGCUAAAUUACUAACAACACUACUCAUCAAAAUCCAACUUUUUUUCCGCUUCUAACCAAACCUACUUUUUCUGAUAGACUGAAGACUUUAAUUUGUUUUAAAGAAUUAUGGUUUUUUCUAUAUCAGAACAUUUUUUUAAAGAAUUUUUAAAGUCUGGUUUUUUUUGUAUUGGUGUUUUUUAGAGGAAGCUAUUCUUUUUUUCACACAACUCAAGUAUCUUACAUCUGGUUGUAAUAAAUAAAGUAAUUUUUUGAAGCUAAUAAAGCUAUGCAUUCAACCCAAGCACUUUGUGGUUUUAGCUUAUCGUUUAGACGGACAGUUUAAAGUUGAAAGACGGCGAAGAGUCGGAAAAGUAUAUCUGAACAGGUGGAUUUCGAUGUUGACCAGCAGAGCGACGACAAUUUGUGUCGAGUGCUGUGCCAAAAAUAAAAUGUUUAUCGUGCACAGCUCUCUUGAGUACUUUUUAUGGGUAGAGUCAAUAAUUGUUUCAUCUAAAAGAGAGCCGGCUCCAUCUUUAUGCCGCAGCAAUUGAAACAGUUGUAAGAGGCCACCUUUUGGGAGUCUUUUCAAAUUGGCAGCUGGAGGUGGCACAAGCUUGAGUCCUUUAUUUAUUUAUAAGCUCAGAGGUGGGGCCAGACCCAAUGCCAAACAGACAGUCGGAGGAAUCGAGGAUAUUUUUUGGCCAUAUAUUCACGUGCCAGAGCUGACUAAUUAAUUUUACACCGUUUAUCGUUGUGUUUCACGAGCACAUAGCUUAAGACAUACAAAUCAAUCACCAGAGAGGUCUGGCAUGUGCAAUUGGAACUCCCUGUACCCAGAGGUCGAGUCAGGUCUGGGUCGGGUCGGUGGCCAAUUAACAAAGCAUACACACAGUACACAUGCUCUUUGCAUGGCGUCAGGCCACCGCCAGGAGUACGAUGGGAAAACCACGACAACGUCAGCGUGGUAAGCACUUAAGACAGAUGAAUGAAGUGGCAAACAUGGCGGACAGAUCCAGUACGAGGGCCGAGCGUCCAGCUCAGAGGCGUCGACUGGCCGCCGACAUUUACAAAUCAGCGCUCAUUAUUUAUUGGGCUCCGAGCGAACCGAACAUAACAGAAUAGAGCAAGGAUUGGACACAAUCCAGAGACGGUUUUAAUUGAUUUUAGCAAAGGUUUUCCUUAUCAGAGGUCUUAAAUUUCUAGAGAAUUUCAUGUUCCAUAUGAAAAUUAACAAUUCCUCGCAUGGGUGUCAACAGCAGUUGGAGGGGAUGAGAGUAUGUUGAGGACUCCAGCCAAAACAGACACUUAAUAAGCAGAAAAAGUUACCGGAAAGAAAUAUUAUGCAAAGUUCAGCAGUUAAAAAUGAAAUGUUGCAAAAAAUUUAAAUGAAAUUUGGAUAUGAUGAAGUCGAAACUUUCUGCCAGAAGACAGACUGCGGUUAUGACUGGGCGCGAGACUGCGACUUCAACUUUUGAUUUCUUGAUGGCAAGACUUGCGAUAAGUUUCCCCUGCUAGAUUUAUGGAAGGGAGACUCCUUAAUGGCAGUCCCUGGCCCCUUCCUAACGCAGUUACAGCCAGACAGUCACUCAACAUGAAUAGCGGCUAAAGGCUAAAUCGUUGACUGCUAGAGAUCUCCUCAUGCUCUCACACUCUUGGCCCAAGCCUAACCAGCGUUUACAAUCUCUAUAAAAGGAAGGCGAAACCGAGGGAAAAGAUAGAGAAGUAAAAGAAAAAAACGGGAAAAAUGCAACAAGAGGAGACAGAGCGAAAGCAAGUGCAAAUAAAAUGGGAAAACCAAGGCAAUUUUUCAGCUUCAUUAAGUAACCGCAAAGUUUGUUUUAUAUGCGGUGAGGUUACAGGCCAGAAAAUGGGGAGAAAAUCUGAGAGAUUCAAGAGUGCUACAUAUGAGGAAACCAGAGCAUGAAAUUAAAAAAAAAGUUAAAGUUAUCUGCCCAUUAGACAACGUAAACAAAAUAUUAAGCAUACGUCAAGUGCUUCAGAGUGAAAUUUAUGAAAAUGGAAAUAAAUUGACCAAGUAAACACAUUUAGUCAAGCAGGAAAACCCCUCACAUAAAUAGAGACAUCAUCUCUCUUCUCUGGCCAACAAUCAACCGGGGAAACAGAAAGAUUAUCAAUGUCAUCCGAGCAAGAGCUGCAUAAAAUGUACGCCAGAAUUAUAUGCAAAAUUUCUAGCGCACUCAGAACUCGAAUCACUAAUAUACUCAUAAGGAGACCGGAAAACAUACUCCAUUGCUGGUAGGGGCGCUGCCAAUGCCCAAACAGUUUUGAACAACAGACAUUGACAAAUAUCCAAAGCGGCAGGAAUAGAACCACAGUCAUAGCUAAAAUAGACUUGGCCAAAGGAGAUUGGCUGCAUUUUAUGUUUACUCAGCAACAAUUGUUGGAUUGGAAUUGGAAGGUGCCCUGCUCCCACUUUGCAGAUUGUUCGGUUUGGUUGGGGCUAUGCUUGCUGGGGCGUCAGUUCUGGCUCUGGGUUGGAUUUGGAUUGGCUUUGGCCUGCCGCCAGGCAGGGAGGAAAUUAAAAUUUAUAUGGCUUACAAAGCGAGGCAGAUGCUGACUGGACCACUGAUGCAGGGAUAUUCUGGCGUUUUGCUGUUUAGCAUGCCUUGGUCGUGGCCGACGCGGUGGAAAGGCUGGAGGCGUAAAGCUUGGCUACCAUUAAGCUGCCAAUCGACCAUUGCCAUUUCACUGCCAAGUUUUUGCCAAAAGCUUGGAACUGGGUUAAGUGAUUUGGCAUUCAAUCAAUAAUAGUUUUUUUCUUACCACAAUUAAAGCCUUUCCCUGUACGAACAUUGCGUACAUUGUACGCCAUGUGGUCUGAAUGUAUUUGGCUAAUCAGCAGUUGGACGGAAGAGGGGGAACGGCUGUGUUAUCUGCCAGCAUAUCAGCAGAUAUAGCGUCCGGCGAGUCCUGGGAAUCGGACACAGGACCGGGGCUCUUUGGGUUUUAUACUCCACUCCCUGUGCAUGCACAAUUUAAUUCAAUUAUGCGUUUGGAGCAUUUUGCAAAUGGACGUUGAUGAACGGAACAGGAAUAAGUGCAGGGAACCAUUUCAGGAAAAUUAAUAAGGCAUGCAAUUUAUGGGCUGUCUGUUCUUUUCUCUCAGCUAAAAAUAAAUCCAUUAAAAUCAAGAAGCGAAUAUUCCCCAUCGAUUUUUACCAGUCUCUGAACAUGCAUUUUGUGUGACGGUUGACUUGAAACGAAUUGCCGCACAACACCCAUUUCUGUUCUUAAAGAAGAAAAGCAAAGACAGGCUCCAGUCCUUGGCAAAAGUACACAUACAAAAUGAGAUACCAAAUUCGAAACUACGUGAUACAUUUCAAGCAAGAAGCUGGAAAUGUAGGAGGCGAAUGAAAACAGUUGCAGACGCUGCAGUGACAGUGGCACACAGAAGGCCGAAUGUGGGAUAUUGAUUGAUUUAUUGAUAUUGACUCUUCUGGGGCGACAGCCUCCGGCUCGCUUCUUUUGAUGAAUGUGUUGGUAAAAGUAAUUUCAUAAUGGCUUUAAUAAGAAUAAACUUUAAAAAUAUACCCUCUGGCCUUAAAACCUUAUUAUCUCUGAUUACAAUUCUCGAGAAAAUUGAACUUUUUAUUUAAGCCUAGUACUUAGAGGCGCAAAAAAUUUCAAAAAACGGUAAGAAAUUAACCCUGUUUAUUGUUCGACACUCACGAAGCAGAGUGUGGAAUGAGAGAAUGUGCAAAAAAUAAAAAAAGCUGAUGGAAGGGGUGGGUUUAGCCACUGCAAAUUAUUUCUUUAUUCUGGCUAUAAUUAUGAUCCAAUCCGAUCCCAAUUCGUUAAUCUGAUAGUUUCUUUUGUCUUUUGUUGGGAAAUUUACUUGUAACAGUGCACUGCAGUGUAAGCAUACAGAAGUCUGGAGGCAGAAGGAGUUUGGUGGCUCUAGCUCUUAUUGUCUCUGAGAACUAGCCGACAAACAAGACGGACAGACAGACAGACAUAGGUGAAUCGACUCGGCUAUUGAUGCUGACCAAUAAUAUAAUAAUAUAUGUAUAUACUUCAUGGAGUCGGAAACGUUUCCUUCUGUGUGUUACAUUCAUCCACUUUUGUACACAUAUACAAAAUACCCUAUUUACUCUUCGAGUACCGGGUGUAAAAAUUUAUUUAGAAAAAUUAACCUUUUAAAAAAAUAAUAUAUGUAUAUAUUUGCAUUUUUUUAAGCCCCACUUUCUAUGCUACACCCUCGUGCCCUACGGUAACGUUUAAAGCGAUGAUGUAGGGCGGACUGGCACCUUCAAAUUAGUGGUCUAACAACUAUGGUUCCUCCUCCCACUGUGUCACUCGGUUGGUGCCGAGUGACAUAAAUCACUGGGAGUGCCACGCAGUAUGCAACAUUAUUUUUAAUGCAGCAUUGUAAAUACCCGCUGCAGCUUUAUGGCUCUGAACCUGAUAACGAUGCCAGGUCCAGCAAGUCUUUUUCACCACACGCACUUGCUAAAGUUUUGUGUGGUUGAGAGGAGCAGUUCCAUUUCUGGGCAGGACCUCUUGUCUGUCGUUGGAACCACCACGGGGCCAAAGCGAAGACCAACAAAAUCCUCGAAUGCACUUUAUUAACCCUCUGUGAUCGAUUGCCUUGAAAGGAAUAAAACUUGGCAAUAGUCGCAAGUUUUUUCGCAGACUUGAACGUUUACAGCUGCCACUAAAUAACAAGAAUUUGGCUGCAGAUCGUACCUUUCAUUGGUGAAGAGAGCCAAACUAAAAAAAAAAAUGAAGAAAACAAGAAAACAAAACUGUAAAGAUAAAUUAAAACUGAAUCUGGUUUUCUGAAACUGCAAUAGUGGGAACCAUCACGCACAUAUCCAAAACAAACAGGAUAGCAAAUACCCAUGUCCAACUACAGCCAUGACCUGGCCAGCUCACACAGAACAAAAAUAGAAUGGAAAAAGCACAAGCUCACGCAUGUUUCUCAGAUGCAGUUGGAGUUUGGCCCUUUCCUGGAAUUUUAAUCAGCUGCAUUCCAUCAAAAUUCAAAUACUCGUCUCCUGCUUUCGUUUGCAUGCGUGAUGAAGCAGCCAGAAAAAGGUAACUUCGUGGGAACACACACUCCAUCCCACAAUGCACUCUCUUCCCACCAGAUGCCUGGUGAAAAUGAAAGUGUGGGCUGGAUUUGAGGCAACAGGGACCAGGGAAAUCACAAAAGAGCUAAUAAUUCCAAGCUUCAAACAGCAGCAAAGUUCUUUCAUCCUACUUAACAUGCGGUGAAUCUUUCCGAUGAAGAUGUUAUUUAAUAUAUCUUAAGUCAAACCCUAAUAGCUCUCAAGUAGAAAAUAUUAUUCGAUUAACAGAAUCAAAUUGUCAGAAAAUAGAUAAAUAGAAAACAAGAGAAUCUGGCGAGUGCUUGUCAUGGGGUUGGAAUGCAUACAAUUACACGCAAGUUUAUUAACGUUGAUUUACAGUGAUUAACUAAUUUCCUAAUAAUUACCUUCUUCUCAGAUCACCAGUUGUAAUGAAACCAAGACAAGCUUCAAUAGCAGCAACAAUAGCGCUUAUGACAUGGAUGAGCCGUCAUUCAUCUGCCUCUAAUUGCAAAAACAAAAAGUUAAAGGAAGACUGGACAUUGAGUACAGCUUCAUCUAUCAGCGGGAAGAUAAUCUUAUAUCACCACCGCUGCCCAAGCAUUUAUUUUUUGUGAGUAUUCCCAAAUUCUGUAUUACGGCAGGAUAGGAUAAUAUGAAAAAAUGACAACUAAUAACUAGCUAUUUUAUCCUUAGGUGUUUCCGGAAUGGAUUUAAUUUUCCGUAACUUCAUCCCAUUACCUGACCUCUGAAUGCCAUUAUCAUAGAGCGAGAGUAAUGGAGCCGGAACAGUUUUCAGUGAAAUGAGUGCACGGCGGUGUGCGGUGAGUUCUCGAAAAAUCUAUAUAGAGACUAUAUGGUUAAACGAUAACUAAUUCAUCUACUUUUAUUCCCACAGCUGUGCAUUGUCAGAUGGCCGGCGAGUGCAUCGAUGGAAAUUUUCAAACCAGCGAAGAUCUUCUUAGAAAAGAUGGCUACAGCAGAGUGUGAUGGUAGAGCUCCCGGUGUCAGAAAUAUACAUUUGUCAAUCAACGUGCUUCGAUGGGAUUUAUAAGACUCCUCGAUAGCACACCCCGAUGGACUUUUGGAGAGCAAGUUUAUUGAUGUGGUGGAAAAGAAAAAGAAUCCGCACCACUGUACGCACAGAGCCUACAACAAUGUGGAAAUGCAUUUUAGUCGGAUAAAUAUUACUUGUUCUGUAAAUGCAUGGAAUACCAUACAUACAUAUGUAUACGCUCGUAUACAAACUGAAGGAAGGCUUUUCUGGCAGCAGCACCGGUUAUUCUGCAUUACUUUACUUUUAAUUUUACAUUAAAUCACUU
rnacentral:lncRNA from 1 species